CGCCGUCGCCGCCCUUGAGCUCGCCGCCGAAGUCGUAGAGGCUCCGCAGCGCCGACAUGUCGUAGGCCUCCGUGUCCUGCUCGCCGCCGCCCUCGUCGUUGUAUUUGAUGACAUUGUCCCGCAUGUCCUCGUCCUCGUCCGAGCUCAGGUGGCUCUUGUGGUGGCGCCUGAGGAAGUCCCGAGCACCUGCAUUUGAGACCCCUUGAGUCUCGGGUCAAGAUGUCCUCUGCAAAAGCCCCCACCCUGAGAGCUCCAGGCCAGGUUCCGAGCCUUCACCUCCAAGCUCCCCUGGACUGGAUGGCGCCAGAGCUGUCACAGCCACAGAUGCGGAUGGUGAGCGUGCCCGUGCUGCUCAGCGUGGGCGGCCCGCUGUCCACCACCAGGAUGGGCAAGAAGAACACGUCCUGCUCCUGCCGGUUGAAGCCCAAGUGCUGAGUGUGCACCGCUGCUGUGUUGUCUGCUCCGGAAAAAAGGGAGUGGCGUGUGACUUGGGGUCCCGGGUCAGCCUCCCCUGGCCUGGCCACCUCCUGAUGCCACCUUGGGACUUGUCUCCCUCUGCCCCAAGCUCCUGUCUCCCAGGGGACCCGUGGAUCUACUCCUCGAUCUCCCCAAAUUCUGCCCCCACCUGCCCUGACAAUCCUGUUCCCAGCCAUGUAGCCCAUCGUUCCGUCCUUAGCUGUCACAAGAUUCUACUCCCAGCUGUCUCAAGAUUCUGUUUUCAGCUAUUCCAAGGUUUUGUCCCCAGCUGCGCCAAGGUCCUGUCCCCAGCUUUUUCAAGAUUCUGUCCCCAGCUGGGCCAAGGUCCUGUCUGGGGCUAUGUUAAUUUUUUUCCCUCAUACAUCUCAACAGCCUGUUUUUCUUCCACCCCAGCCACCCAGUGUUCCCUGACCCUGGGGUCCUGGGGUCCUUGGGUUGUGGCUUACUGUGUCCUGACAAGUCCUGGGUCACAGAGAAGACUGAGAUGUCUUCUCUGGCACCUGGCUCUGGCUGAGGGAGCUUUCUUAAGAGACUGAUACUGGAGGGCUGAGGGCAUAGUCCCUGGGGCCUGAUGAGGGGACCCUGGCGCACCAGGGUCUUCUUCCUACACGUGUGACCAGAGAGGACAGUGAACUAACACAAGUCAUGCUCAUUACACCACUUCAGCCAGUUUCUGGGAAUGCCAGGCAGGCCUCAGUGGGACUCUGGUCUCAGGGCAUGGGCUUAUGUGCUAGGCAGUGCCCACUUCCCCCGCCCUUCCUGCCUCUCUUGUAUAGGUCAGGCCAUCCCUGAACCUCCACCAUUUUGAUGCCUGUCAAUGUGGUGGCACAGACUCGGGGCCCAGCUGGCUGCUGCCCCCACCCCUCACAGCCAGCUCCACACAAGGGGCCCUGCCUCCCUGUGGGGAGCCCGGGCUUCCCUCCAGAGUCCUUCUCCUGCCCUCACAGCCUUCCUUCCGGCUAGUCUCUCUGACCUCCAGCUUUGGCAUUCUGGGUCCCCUCCCCAGCUCUGGGGUCCCAGUUACUCCAAUUCAUUCCUUAGUCCUGGCUUCCCCCAAUCAUGGACAUGAUGCAGGAGGAAAGAGCUGACUUGUGACCUUGAACACAUCUGUGAAGUGAACUAGAGGUCCAGCUCAAACAAGACUGCUCAUGGGUUUUAGCUCAUGUGAUGGUAUCAUGAGGUUUUGUGACAUUAUUCUAUCUACUUUUACACACAUUUGAAAAUUUCCAUUAAAAUA